rnacentral:tRNA from 2 species
GACCCUGUAGCGCAGUUGGUUAGCGUGCCGCCCUGUCACGGCGGAGGUCGCGGGUUCAAGUCCCGUCAGGGUCG